CUGCACUGGUAUAUGUCACUGUAUUAUAAUCAAGGAAAGGCAAGAGUCUCCGAAGCACUAGAUUUGCAGCUUUGCACCCACCGUGUGCCGGUGACUGCCGAGGCGGGCGUGGAGCCCCACGGUCGGUGCUGAAGGAGGCGCGCUCGCAUCCGCCGCAGCAGAACUGCUCAGAGGAGUCAGGCUGGUGCUGGACAUUGAUCCCCAGCUCUCCGCAGCAGCAGUCAUGCCAUUAUUGUAGCUUCCUAACUUAAUUAAUGGUAUGAACUUUGAGUUCUCAGAACCUCAUUGAUUUGGAGCAAGUGUGCCCUAUCAGUUUACGGAAUACAAAUCACACCCGGCAACAGCUUUUAUUAGCUCUCCGCAGCCUGGAAGCCUACCUGAUGCCAUGUAAGAAAUGAGAGCAGUAUGUCCUUGCCUCCUGCAGUGAGCAGGAUUUGAGAGACGUCAGAGGACCAGACCUUGCCAGCAGCAGUUUCCUGUGCUUUUUUUCAGCCCCAGCUGUUUUGAAAAUAAUAAUAGUUAUCCGAAACACACAAAGGAAGAAUAUGUCCUGAAAAUACUUCAGAAAGUGAUGUCUGUCUGAGUUGUCAGAAAGCCUGAAAUAAAGAUGCAUGGACUGUACCUACUCAUCUCAGUAUAUGUAUGUGGCACCUCAGUGGUCUUGGGAUUAUGCAAGUCCCACAGCUGUUGGCACAGAGCGUGGAGCCAGUCAGAGUCCCAAGAUGCCUUAAUGGCAGUUAACCACGAGGCAUCGCCAUUCUGGAUCAGCUUGGAGGAGCCAGCACUGGAGCAGAAAAUCGUCAGCAGGUCUCGAGACUGGGAGCAAUGAACCAGCACGCCCCGGGGAGCUCGCGGCAGAAGCGAAAGGUUUAG
rnacentral:lncRNA from 1 species